AUCAAGACACUGUCUGAAGUUUCCCCCUCAUGAUUUAAAAAAAAGAAAUUUAUCUGACAGAGGUUCUGCUGAGGAGGCCAGCUCUCACAUCAGAGGGUGAUGGCAGUUUGUGCUGGAUGAGGAUAAGACAAUGCUGUCCUAGGGCUGGCCAUCUGAUAAAGCUUCCCAGAAAGUGCAGUAAUGGACCCCUGGGAGGCUUUCUGCUCUCCUGUCUGCGGGUUCCUGAGCUGCCAAAAGUACCUUGAUGUUUUCUGAAAGCAGAGCCAAUGACCACACUCCAGGGACUGAGUUCUCAAAUAUUUACCUUUGGAGUCCAACCCUUCUGACCAUCCAGAGGCAAGCACAAUAUUCCUGAGAAAAUCUCAAAUAGAUGUACAAGAAAAAAGAAAAAGCAACUAUACAGAGCGUGUAUCUAGUGAGCAUUUUACUCAGCAAUACAGUCCAUGUUCGACAAUAUUCCUUGAUGACAGCACUGCCAGCCAGCCUCAUCUUACAAUGACACUAAAAUCUGUGACCUUGGUGAUAUAUUAACAUAUCAAGCAAAGAGAUGCAGAUAGAUCUUUGGGCAUAUUUGAUGAACGGUUACACCCAUUUACAUGAGAAGACGUUUUGGAGGAAUAUUUUAAAUAUGAUCCUUAACACAAAUUGGUUUUCAGUUUUGUUUGUAUUCUGUUUAAAGCCAUAAGGCUAACAGCUGAAUUUGCAAUUGUAAGUUUGGAAUGAGUUGGAAAGGGAAUUCUUGAAGCUAAUUAAUUACAAUAUCAGCGUUACUGGCAGUGUUUAUAGCAGAUUCUACUUCAAUCUUCGAACCAUGGCACAUGACAACAGCCUGUAUUCGCUAGUUUAUCUUCUUGACAGAGAAAGAGCAUGGAAGCUGGAGUCCCAGCAGAAGUGCAUCAUGAUGUUUGCCCUGGUGUGCUGCUUUGCCAUUCUGGUUGCACUGAUCUUUUCAGCCGUGGACAUCAUGGGAGAGGAUGAGGAUGGACUCUCAGAAAAAAAUUGCCAAAAUAAAUGUUGGUAGGAGGUUCAGGCAUUAGCAAUUAUGUUUCAGAGGCCUCAGUUUUCAUUCUGUCUUGGGAAUCAAGGGAUGUUAGAAGGUCCCUUCCAGAGGGCAAUUAUUUUUUGGCAUUUCCAUGAGAGAUGAGAAUUGCCCUGGUGGAAAAUAUUCCUGAAGGCCUUAACUAUUCAGAAAAUGCACCAUUUCACUUAUCACUUUUCCAAGGCUGGAUGAAUUUACUCAACAUGGCCAAAAAGUCUGUUGACAUAGUGUCUUCCCAUUGGGAUCUCAACCACACUCAUCCGUCAGCAUGUCAGGGUCAACGUCUUUUUGAAAAGUUGCUCCAACUGACUUCGCAAAAUAUUGAGAUCAAGCUAGUGAGUGAUGUAACAGCUGAUUCAAAGGUAUUAGAAGCCUUGAAAUUAAAGGUGGCAUUGGCCUGGCCCUCUGCAAGCGGCUGCUGGCGGAAGAUGAUGAGCUUCAUCUGUGUUUGGCGUGCAGGAAUAUGAGCAAGGCAGAAGCUGUCUGUGCUGCUCUGCUGGCCUCUCACCCCACUGCUGAGGUCACCAUUGUCCAGGUGGAUGUCAGCAACCUGCAGUCAUUCUUCCGGGCCUCCAAGGAACUUAAGCAAAGGUAUAUCUCUUGCUGAUGGAUUUUUUUUUUCUCGUGUGAUUGUGCAGCAUAACACUUAAUAAAAUAAGAGAGGAAAGAAAAACCUAAAAAGAAACAGGUGCGGUGUAAGCAGUUAUGUUGAAGAAGUCUGUAUAGGGUGACCCACUGUGUCUCAGUACCACGUUUUCUUUCUUUCUUUUUUUUUUUUUAAAGAGAUAGAGUCUUGCUCUGUUGCCCAGGCUGGAGUGCAAUGGCGUGAUCUCGGCUCACUUCAACCUCUGCCUCCUGGGUUCAAGUGAUUCUCCUGCCUCCACCUCCUGAGUAGCUGGGAUUACAGACAUGCGCCACCAUGCCUGGUUAAUUUUUGUAUUUUUAGUAGAGAUGGGGUUUUACCAUGUUGGUCAGGCUGGUUUCGAACCCGUGACCUCGUGAUCCACCCACCUCGGCCUCCCAAAGUGCUGGGAUUACAGGCGUCAGCCAUUGCGCCUGGCCAGUACCACAUUUUCAAUCUCAAUCAUGAUCAUAAUUAUUUCAUGGAGACUAAUUUAUAAGUACAUCCUGAUGUGUGAUCAGUUGGUGCUGGGAUUACAGGCAUGAGCCAUUGCACCCAGCCAGUACCACAUUUUCAGUCUCAAUCACGAUCAUAAUUAUUUCAUGGAGACUAAGUUAUGAGUACAUCCUGAUACAUAUCGAUCAGUUGGUGCUGGGAUUACAGGUGUGAGCCAUUGCACUUGGCCAGUACCACAUUUUCAAUCUCAACCAUGAUCGUAAUUAUUUCAUGGAGACUAAUUUGUAAGUACAUCCUGGUGUGUGAUCAGUUGCACUGCCUUACGUUAAGGUAACUCCUUUGACAUUUGAAUUCAUUUUUUACAUCUUUCUUCACAUAAUGAAUUCAUUAAGUAGAUAAGGCAAGUAGUGAGUGACAUUUAACAAGUGAAGAAACUGAGACACAGAAAUAAGGGUAAUAUGCCUGGGAAGGUCAUCCAGUCUUAUAUUAGUUGGGUGGGUCCAAGACCCCAGGGCUUCUCCCUGCUUCCUAAGGAGUAUUUUUUUUCCCUAGGCCAGUAAAGAUUUGUUCACACCUUCACAGUAAUUGGCAUGUAAUAGACAUUUGAUCAGUAGUUGGUAUAUGAAGGAAUAGAGUCCUCAGAUGUAUAACUCCCCUGAAAGUGAACACAAAAUUGCAUGUAGGUGCACAAUGCAUUUUUUGGGCAGAGAGGGCUUUUUAUUUAUUUAUUUGUUUUUAAAUUGUAAGAGGAAUUUAUGAUGAAAAAAGUCCAAGAACCCUGCACUAGUCUAUGCUGCCCUAGGGCUAUCUGGAAUAAUUAAUUUUCAAAUAUUGAGGCACUUAAGAGACAAAGAACUACCUUGUUUCCUUGGACAGUAAAAUGAAAUGGGUAGAAACAAGGAAGGCCUUCUUGAUGAAGACGUUUGCUGAAUAAAAAUACUUCGUAUUUUAUGUGAAUUGAUAAUCAUUUGCAUUUGCCUGUUCCAAAUGCACAAGUUACAAAGUGAAAGCUAGUUUUCUUCACUCCAGCUCUUCUCAGUGUGGCCUUAGUCCUUUGUAAAUGUGGUUUCUCUCUCCAGUAUUGCUGAGCUAUUAG
rnacentral:lncRNA from 1 species